rnacentral:rRNA from 1 species
AGAGUUUGAUCAUGGCUCAGAUUGAACGCUGGCGGCAGGCCUAACACAUGCAAGUCGAGCGGUAGCACAGAGAGCUUGCUCUCGGGUGACGAGCGGCGGACGGGUGAGUAAUGUCUGGGAAACUGCCUGAUGGAGGGGGAUAACUACUGGAAACGGUAGCUAAUACCGCAUAACGUCGCAAGACCAAAGUGGGGGACCUUCGGGCCUCAUGCCAUCAGAUGUGCCCAGAUGGGAUUAGCUAGUAGGUGGGGUAACGGCUCACCUAGGCGACGAUCCCUAGCUGGUCUGAGAGGAUGACCAGCCACACUGGAACUGAGACACGGUCCAGACUCCUACGGGAGGCAGCAGUGGGGAAUAUUGCACAAUGGGCGCAAGCCUGAUGCAGCCAUGCCGCGUGUGUGAAGAAGGCCUUCGGGUUGUAAAGCACUUUCAGCGGGGAGGAAGGCGAUAAGGUUAAUAACCUCACCGAUUGACGUUACCCGCAGAAGAAGCACCGGCUAACUCCGUGCCAGCAGCCGCGGUAAUACGGAGGGUGCAAGCGUUAAUCGGAAUUACUGGGCGUAAAGCGCACGCAGGCGGUCUGUCAAGUCGGAUGUGAAAUCCCCGGGCUCAACCUGGGAACUGCAUUCGAAACUGGCAGGCUAGAGUCUUGUAGAGGGGGGUAGAAUUCCAGGUGUAGCGGUGAAAUGCGUAGAGAUCUGGAGGAAUACCGGUGGCGAAGGCGGCCCCCUGGACAAAGACUGACGCUCAGGUGCGAAAGCGUGGGGAGCAAACAGGAUUAGAUACCCUGGUAGUCCACGCCGUAAACGAUGUCGAUUUGGAGGUUGUGCCCUUGAGGCGUGGCUUCCGGAGCUAACGCGUUAAAUCGACCGCCUGGGGAGUACGGCCGCAAGGUUAAAACUCAAAUGAAUUGACGGGGGCCCGCACAAGCGGUGGAGCAUGUGGUUUAAUUCGAUGCAACGCGAAGAACCUUACCUGGUCUUGACAUCCACAGAACUUUCCAGAGAUGGAUUGGUGCCUUCGGGAACUGUGAGACAGGUGCUGCAUGGCUGUCGUCAGCUCGUGUUGUGAAAUGUUGGGUUAAGUCCCGCAACGAGCGCAACCCUUAUCCUUUGUUGCCAGCGGUCCGGCCGGGAACUCAAAGGAGACUGCCAGUGAUAAACUGGAGGAAGGUGGGGAUGACGUCAAGUCAUCAUGGCCCUUACGACCAGGGCUACACACGUGCUACAAUGGCAUAUACAAAGAGAAGCGACCUCGCGAGAGCAAGCGGACCUCAUAAAGUAUGUCGUAGUCCGGAUUGGAGUCUGCAACUCGACUCCAUGAAGUCGGAAUCGCUAGUAAUCGUAGAUCAGAAUGCUACGGUGAAUACGUUCCCGGGCCUUGUACACACCGCCCGUCACACCAUGGGAGUGGGUUGCAAAAGAAGUAGGUAGCUUAACCUUCGGGAGGGCGCUUACCACUUUGUGAUUCAUGACUGGGGUGAAGUCGUAACAAGGUAACCGUAGGGGAACCUGCGGUUGGAUCACCU